GAUAAGAAUUUUUAGUUUUUUUUCUUUGUAAGAGAUUUUAUCGGUUUGCAUAUGGCCUUAAACUUUAUGGGAGGGAAGUUAUAUUUUUUGUUUUGCACGUUUUCUUCCUCCAUUGUUGCUGACUUUCGAGUUGUUACUGUGCAGUUCGUUGGUUGGGGUCAAGGACUUGUAGAGACCUUGGCGUCUUGGAGAAGUUGCUAAUAGUUUUAGUCAAGGGUGUAUUCCACCAAUUCCUACUACAGUUACAGUUCUUUGCUUUGAAUUUGUAGACCUGUGAUUUUGCUUUAAUAAAGCCAGAGUAAGCAUUCUGUAGAUUUGAAUUGGUAGCACAAAUGGAGAUUGAGAAGCCUCCUGUAGGAAAUAUAUAAGAGCUGCUUCUCUUGUUUCUGUUCAGGUAACUGGAUUUAGUCGGUAGCCGGUCAAGAAGGAGGCAAAGGAGGUUGGGGCAUAAAUCUCCCCAAGUUUGGGGGUGAUACUUCAAACACAUGAAUUUGCAUAAAUUUUACAAAUACUAUCAUUAAUCUCUACUUUAUGCCUGUGUAUUUUCAUGUAGGAAGGAAGUUGUAUAACGUCAUAGAGGUAUUUACAGCAUCAAAUGUGUAAGAUUUAUAAUCUAGGGAAGGUUAGCUCUAAUCAUUGAAAUAUUUAGUGCAUUGACGAAGUUGCUGAGAUGCCACUUUUUUUUUCAAAGCUGCCUUGUUAGAAUUCUAAAGAUUAAAUGGUUUAUUUGAAUAUUGUUUGUAGAAUGAUUGAAAUCAUAUUGGGUUGAAAGCUAAGUGAUUGUGUAGAUGAUCAGACGAUUGUUGAAGGUUGAAGACUGAGAAGACAUUUAGGAUUUUUAAUUAUUUAAGUAUUGUAUUAGGAUCUUUUUUCACGUACUGUUGUAGAAUGUAUAUAUAAACACAAUAUUAAGAUUUCAUUUUGUGUAUAUAAAUGU